GUCCACGCCGUAAACGAUGAAUGCCAGACGUCGGGUAGCAUGCUAUUCGGUGUCACACCUAACGGAUUAAGCAUUCCGCCUGGGGAGUACGGCCGCAAGGUUAAAACUCAAAGGAAUUGACGGGGGCCCCGCACAAGCGGUGGAGCAUGUGGUUUAAUUCGAAGCAACGCGCAGAACCUUACCAACCCUUGACAUGGGUAUCGCGGGAUCAGAGAUGGUCCUUUCAGUUCGGCUGGAUACCACACAGGUGCUGCAUGGCUGUCGU
rnacentral:rRNA from 1 species